ensembl:snRNA U6 U6 spliceosomal RNA
GUGAUGGUAGCUUCAGUAGCACAUAGACUAAAAUUGGAAUGUCAUAGAAAAUAUCAGCAUGACCGUUGUGCAAGGAUGGCACACAAAUUAGUGAAACAUUCCAUAUUUUG